rnacentral:lncRNA from 1 species
AUGACCUCGUAGACGUAUCUUAUUUCCAACUUGCAAAAUGAUGAAACGUGAUUGGGCUGCAGGAACCCGCUGCCACUCUCCCCCUCUCUCCCACAUACGCUUUCCCUUCCCAGGGCGGCUCCGAGCCCGGCUGGCUCCAUCCUCACCCGGCUGAAGGGCAGUGGGUGCAGAGCAGCUCCAUGCACUCCCUGCUCCCUGGAAGGGCAGGGUUGGUGAUUUAUUCCUGCCCCCAUCAUGGAGAGAGACUUUGGCAGUGGGAGAAGGCAAGCCCUUUGCAUUCCCUGGGACAUCGAUGGAGUCACGGAUGAAAGGGAAGAGGAGCAGCUCUGCCAGGCCGCUUUUGCCAAAAUUCACAAGGUGGGAGCUGUUAAGAAAAUCACAAGGCGGGAGAAGUAUGAAGGCAAGUCAUAAAAAAGCAAGGAAGUAAAUGCCCUGAUUCCAGGCUGGCAAAAGGCCAGUCAAGUGAUGACAGCAGAGCUGCACUAUGAAUGCUGUCAAAAACAUUUCAAAUGACAGAAGAGCUCGCCUGAAGUGCAGCAGAGCAUGUAGAAGUGGGACCUGGCAAAGCUAGGCAAACUGGCAGUGUGACGAUAGGUAGAAUAUGAAAACAAAACAAUGUCAUGGACAAUACCACUAGGUUUCAAAAGAAAAAAAAGACAGCACCUGGGGCAAGGAAGGACCUUAAAAUUAUCACCAAAGUGUUCUUUGUCUGCACUGAUGGUGGAAAUGUGACUGGAUACCUCAACGACAAGAUAAGCGACAACAAAAAUAAUGUAGCAUUGUACAUGUAACACACUUUAUUGCACCUUUAUGAUGUAUCUUCAGAUGUACUCCGCAGGUGCAUGGGUGGGAGUGAGUAAAUACAUCUGAGUCCGUAUAUGUACUGACAUAAAUACUGACCCAUUUACAGAGUUGCACUUGUAGAAGUACCAGUGUUUAUUUUAGAUAAUCGUACGAUUCAGAUUUUCUCUGCAGUGUUGUGAUGUUGUACCUCUGAGGUGUCAAUACUUCCGUUAUCCUAUGUGUGCACAUAUGUAUACAGAAACACCCCCACACAUAAUUUUUGAUACACAAAUAAAAAUAUUUUUCAUUGUCUCA